GACAGAGGGGGCAAGCGUUGCUCGGAAUUACUGGGCGUAAAGGGCGCGUAGGCGGGAUGGCAAGUCGGUCGUGAAAUCCCUCGGCUCAACCGAGGAACGUCGAUCGAUACUGCUGUUCUUGAGGAUUGCAGAGGAGACUGGAAUUCCCGGUGUAGCGGUGAAAUGUGUAGAGAUCGGGAGGAACACCAAUUGCGAAGGCAGCUCGCUGGGACGUCACUGACGCUGAGACGCGAAAGCGUGGGGAGCAAACAGGG
rnacentral:rRNA from 1 species